AGAUUAUUGCAGCGUAUGCAGAACUGCCUGCAAAUACCUGCCUAUUUCAGAAAAUCUCAAGUCUCAAGAGAAGAUAUAUUUUAGAAACCCUAAAGACACUGUGCUGAAAUACUUUAACAGUAUUGCACAGGCAUGGUGUUUCCAGAAACAACAGCAUGAAUUGCAUGUGGCAUCCUACAAGCAAUAUAUAACUAACAACCAGAAUGCUUUUAAAGAGGCUCUUUUGAAGAU